rnacentral:rRNA from 1 species
GAUGAACGCUGGCGGCGUGCUUAACACAUGCAAGUCGAACGGAGGACCCCUGAAGGAGUUUUCGGACAACUGAAGGGAAUCCUUAGUGGCGGACGGGUGAGUAACGCGUGAGUAACCUGCCUUGGAGUGGGGAAUAACAGCUGGAAACAGCUGCUAAUACCGCAUGAUGCAGUUGGGUCGCAUGGCUCUGACUGCCAAAGAUUUAUCGCUCUGAGAUGGACUCGCGUCUGAUUAGCUGGUUGGCGGGGUAACGGCCCACCAAGGCGACGAUCAGUAGCCGGACUGAGAGGUUGGCCGGCCACAUUGGGACUGAGACACGGCCCAG